AUUUUACGCUGGCNGCAGGCCUAACNCAUGCAAGUCGANCGGUAACAGAAAGUAGCUUGCUACUUUGCUGACGAGCGGCGGACGGGUGAGUAAUGCCUGGGAAUAUGCCUUGAUGUGGGGGAUAACUAUUGGAAACGAUAGCUAAUACCGCAUAAUGUCUUCGGACCAAAGAGGGGGAUCUUCGGACCUCUCGCGUCAAGAUUAGCCCAGGUGAGAUUAGCUAGUUGGUGGGGUAAGAGCUCACCAAGGCGACGAUCUCUAGCUGGUCUGAGAGGAUGAUCAGCCACACUGGAACUGAGACACGGUCCAGACUCCUACGGGAGGCAGCAGUGGGGAAUAUUGCACAAUGGGCGAAAGCCUGAUGCAGCCAUGCCGCGUGUAUGAAGAAGGCCUUCGGGUUGUAAAGUACUUUCAGUCGUGAGGAAGGGUGUGUAGUUAAUAGCUGCAUAUCUUGACGUUAGCGACAGAAGAAGCACCGGCUAACUCCGUGCCAGCAGCCGCGGGUAAUA
rnacentral:rRNA from 1 species